rnacentral:tRNA from 1 species
UAGCUCAGUGGUUAAGAGCACUGGUUGCUCUUCCAAAGGUCCUGGGUUCAAUUCCCAG